ensembl:misc_RNA
UGGUCCGCCUCAGGGGCUGAAGUCCUCUUUUUAUGCAUGGAGUGGGAACAGCACAGGGAGUGACGAGCUGGUUUUCUUCAAACCACUCCCACUAACCGGCUGCAGCCAAGGACAGGCCCACACCUUCUGGGGAAGAGAACUGUGCAGCCUCUGCUGCCAUUUGACCUCUGGUGUCA